rnacentral:rRNA from 1 species
UCGAAACAAAGUAGACAAACCUGAAGGCUUGUCUAAG